rnacentral:rRNA from 1 species
UGGGGAAUAUUGGACAAUGGGCGCAAGCCUGAUCCAGCCAUGCCGCGUGAGUGAUGAAGGCCCUAGGGUUGUAAAGCUCUUUCACCGGUGAAGAUAAUGACGGUAACCGGAGAAGAAGCCCCGGCUAACUUCGUGCCAGCAGCCGCGGUAAUACGAAGGGGGCUAGCGUUGUUCGGAUUUACUGGGCGUAAAGCGCACGUAGGCGGACUAUUAAGUCAGGGGUGAAAUCCCGGGGCUCAACCCCGGAACUGCCUUUGAUACUGGUAGUCUUGAGUUCGGGAGAGGUGAGUGGAAUCCCGAGGGUAAGGGGGAAAUUGGAGGAUAUUGGGAGGAAAACCAGGGGCGAAGGCGGCUCACUGGCUGGAUACUGACGCGGGGGUGCGAAAGGGUGGGAGCAAACAGG